rnacentral:rRNA from 1 species
CCUACGGGCGGCAGCAGUGGGGAAUAUUGCACAAUGGGCGCAAGCCUGAUGCAGCCAUGCCGCGUGUGUGAAGAAGGCCUUCGGGUUGUAAAGCACUUUCAGCGGGGAGGAAGGCGGUGAGGUUAAUAACCUCACCGAUUGACGUUACCCGCAGAAGAAGCACCGGCUAACUCCGUGCCAGCAGCCGCGGUAAUACGGAGGGUGCAGGCGUUAAUCGGAAUUACUGGGCGUAAAGCGCACGCAGGCGGUCUGUCAAGUCGGAUGUGAAAUCCCCGGGCUCAACCUGGGAACUGCAUUCGAAACUGGCAGGCUAGAGUCUUGUAGAGGGGGGUAGAAUUCCAGGUGUAGCGGUGAAAUGCGUAGAGAUCUGGAGGAAUACCGGUGGCGAAGGCGGCCCCCUGGACAAAGACUGACGCUCAGGUGCGAAAGCGUGGGGAGCAAACAGGAUUAGAUACCCUAGUAGUC